rnacentral:lncRNA from 1 species
CGGGAACAAAAUUAAAUGCGCAAUUAAGCUAAUAAGAAAACAAAAUGAUGGUUGAUGAUGGCGGCUGUAAUAAAAGAAAUUAAAGUCGUGAAACAAUUGGAUGCAGCGAAUUGAACCACUUGGAAUAAAAUGUACACAUUUAAUGAGGACAUGCAGCUAAAAUUCGAUAUUUGGAAUUUGAAAUGAAAUAUCUAUAAAAAAGACGGGAACAACAAAAUGAAUUGAAUGAGUAAGCUUUUCAAUCAAACAUUAAAUGCAAGUCCUUUCCAAUAAUGGACGUGAGCUAGAUGAAAUCAGCGUGUUCUUUCAUCCCAGACCAUGCGCUACUCUUCUCCCAUACCAUUCAUUCUCGUGUUUUUUUGCCUUUUAAAGUGAAAGGGUGGUUUUUUUUUUUUCCUCUGAAGCAUUUGGCGGCUGUGCUGAAGCAAUCCCAAGAUAAAAUUCUCGAUGUAACAGUAGCCUACAGAAUGACGACCCUCUCCUAGGUUUUUUUUUUUACUUAAUCUUCAUUCCUUCCCCAAGCCAUGCUGGACUUCACGUGGGCCUGCAUUUAAUUGAAAUCAGCUAGAGUGUGCUGCAUCUUCUAAUGUCUAAAAUGGGUCCAACCUCUUUCAAGUGCUUUUUAUAUAUGCUAGGCAUGUGUUGCACUAAGCCAUUCAAUCAACCAUGAUGUGUUACUACAAUAAAAUGAAAUANCGUGUGUUCCAGCUCCCCUUCUCGUGACUGCACACAAUUAUUUUAUAUUCUCUUCAAUGUGCCUUUCAUCAUUUGGGCAAGGUCGUGAUGCAGUGUGAAGUUUAAUCCAAGCAGAGCACCAUUUUAUAUUUCCUCCCAACUAGAUCGUGAUACACAAUGCUGGACGGUUGAAGAUG